rnacentral:rRNA from 1 species
UGGGGAAUAUUGCACAAUGGGGGAAACCCUGAUGCAGCGACGCCGCGUGAGCGAUGAAGUCUUUCGAGUCGUAAAGCUCUGUCCUAUGGGAAGACAAUGACGGUACCAUAGAAGAAAGCCACGCCUAACUACGUGCCAGCAGCCGCGGUAAUACGUAGGUGGCAAGCGUGGUCCGGAAUUAUUAGGCGUAAAGCGCGCGCAGGUGGUUUAGAAAGUCUGAUGUGAAAGCCCACGGCUCAACCGUGGAGGGUCAUUUGAAACUAAUAAACUUGAGUGCAGGAGAGAAAAGUGGAAUUCCUAGUGUAGCGGUGAAAUGCGUAGAGAUUAGGAGGAACAACAGUGGCGAAAGCGGCUUUUUGGCCUGAAACUGACACUGAGGCGCGAAAGCCUGGGGAGCAAACAGG